rnacentral:rRNA from 1 species
AACCUUUCCAGGACGAGUGGAUUGGCUCCUUCCGGACGUCUGACACAGGUGCUGCAUGGCUGUCGUCAGCUCGUGUCGUGAGAUGGUUGGGUUAACGUCCCGUAACGAGCGCAACCCUUGUCCUUAGUUACCAGCACGUUAUGGUGGGCACUCUAAGGAGACUGCCGGUGACAAACCGGAGGAAGGUGGGGAUGACGUCAAGUCAUCAUGGCCCUUACGGCCUGGGCUACACACGUGCUACAAUGGUCGGUACAAAGGGUUGCCAAGCCGCGAGGUGGAGCUAAUCCCAUAAAACCGAUCGUAGUCCGGAUCGCAGUCUGCAACUCGACUGCGUGAAGUCGGAAUCGCUAGUAAUCGUGAAUCAGAAUGUCACGGUGAAUACGUUCCCGGGCCUU